CCUACGGGAGGCAGCAGUAGGGAAUAUUGCUCAAUGGGGGAAACCCUGACGCAGCAACGCCGCGUGGAGGAUGAAGGUUUUAGGAUUGUAAACUCCUUUUGUGAGGGACGAUAAUGACGGUAUCUCACGAAUAAUCACCGUCGAACUCCGUGCCAGCAGCCGCCGUAAUACGGAGGGGGCAAGCGUCACUCGGAAUGACUGGGCGUAAAGAGUGCGCAGGCGGGUUUGUAAGUUAGAAGUGAAAUCCUUACGCUCAACUUCGGAACUACAUUUAAAAAUAUGAGUCUAGAGUGUAGGAGGGGUAGGCGGAAUUCUUGGUGUAGGGGUGGAAUGCGUAGAUAUCAAGAGGAAUACUAAUUGCGAAGGCGAGUUACUGGAAUGUAACUGACGCUGAGGCACGAAAGCGUGGGGAGCAAACAGGAUUAGAUACCCCGGUAGUC
rnacentral:rRNA from 1 species